rnacentral:rRNA from 1 species
AGAGUUUGAUCAUGGCUCAGAACGUACGCUGGCGGCACGCCUAACACAUGCAAGUCGAACGAAGUAGCAAUACUUAGUGGCAGACGGGUGAGUAACAUGUAGGUAUCUGCCCUUUGGCCUGGAAUAACACGAGGAAACUUGUGCUAAUACCGGAUAAGUCUUUACGGAGAAAGCUUUAUGCACCAUUGGAUGAGCCUGCACUUGAUUAGUUUGUUGGUGGGGUAAUGGCCUACCAAGACUGUGAUCAAUAGCUGAUUUGAGAGGAUGAUCAGCCACAUUGGGACUGAGACACGGCCCAAACUCCUACGGGAGGCAGCAGUGGGGAAUCUUGCACAAUGGAGGAAACUCUGAUGCAGCGAUGCCGCGUGAGUGAAGAAGGCCCUUGGGUUGUAAAGCUCUUUCGUCGGGGAAGAAAAUGACUGUACCCGAAUAAGAAGGUCCGGCUAACUUCGUGCCAGCAGCCGCGGUAAUACGAAGGGACCUAGCGUAGUUCGGAAUUACUGGGCUUAAAGAGUUCGUAGGUGGUUGAAAAAGUUAGUGGUGAAAUCCCAGAGCUUAACUCUGGAACUGCCAUUAAAACUUUUCAGCUAGAGUAUGAUAGAGGAAAGCAGAAUUUCUAGUGUAGAGGUGAAAUUCGUAGAUAUUAGAAAGAAUACCAAUUGCGAAGGCAGCUUUCUGGAUCAUUACUGACACUGAGGAACGAAAGCAUGGGUAGCGAAGAGGAUUAGAUACCCUCGUAGUCCAUGCCGUAAACGAUGUGUGUUAGACGUUGGAAAUUCAUUUUCAGUGUCGCAGCGAAAGCGAUAAACACACCGCCUGGGGAGUACGACCGCAAGGUUAAAACUCAAAUGAAUUGACGGGGACCCGCACAAGUAGUGGAGCAUGUGGUUUAAUUCGAAGAUACGCGCAGAACCUUACCAACACUUGACAUGUUCGUCGCGACUCUAAGAGAUUAGAGUUUUCGGUUCGGCCGGACGAAACACAGGUGCUGCAUGGCUGUCGUCAGCUCGUGUCGUGAGAUGUUGGGUUAAGUCCCGCAACGAGCGCAACCCUCACUUUUAGUUGCCAUCAUUAAGUUGGGCACUCUGAAAGAACUGCCAGUGAUAAGCUGGAGGAAGGUGGGGAUGACGUCAAGUCCUCAUGGCCCUUACGUGUUGGGCUACACACGUGCUACAAUGGUAUCUACAACAGGAAGCAAGACUGCGAAGUUAAGCAAAUCCCUAAAAGAUACCUCAGUUCGGAUUGCACUCUGCAACUCGAGUGCAUGAAGCUGGAAUUACUAGUAAUCGUGGAUCAGCGUGCCACGGUGAAUGCGUUCCCGGGUCUUGUACACACCGCCCGUCACACCAUGGGAGUUGGUUCUACCUUAAGGCAAGGUUUUAAACCCUUGACCACGGUAUAGUCAGCGACUGGGGUGAAGUCGUAACAAGGUA